AGUGGCGGACGGGUGAGUAACGCGUGGGUAACCUGCCUCAUACAGGGGGAUAACAGUUAGAAAUGACUGCUAAUACCGCAUAAGACCACAGAGCCGCAUGGCUCGGUGGGAAAAACUCCGGUGGUAUGAGAUGGACCCGCGUCUGAUUAGGUAGUUGGUGGGGUAACGGCCUACCAAGCCAACGAUCAGUAGCCGACCUGAGAGGGUGACCGGCCACAUUGGAACUGAGACACGGCCCAA
rnacentral:rRNA from 1 species